UACGAAGGGGGCUAGCGUUGCUCGGAAUCACUGGGCGUAAAGGGUGCGUAGGCGGGUCUUUAAGUCAGGGGUGAAAUCCUGGAGCUCAACUCCAGAACUGCCUUUGAUACUGAAGAUCUUGAGUUCGGGAGAGGUGAGUGGAACUGCGAGUGUAGAGGUGAAAUUCGUAGAUAUUCGCAAGAACACCAGUGGCGAAGGCGGCUUUUUGGUCUGUAACUGACGCUGAGGCGCGAAAGCGUGGGGAGCAAACAGG
rnacentral:rRNA from 1 species